rnacentral:rRNA from 1 species
UACGGGGGGUGCAAGCGUUAUCCGGAAUCAUUGGGCGUAAAGCGUCUGUAGGUUGUUUGAUAAGUCUGUUGUUAAAGACUGGGGCUCAACCCCAGGAAAGCAAUGGAAACUGUCAAGCUAGAGUGUGGUAGAGGUAGAGGGAAUUCCUAGUGUAGCGGUGAAAUGCGUAGAUAUUAGGAAGAACACCGGUGGCGAAAGCGCUCUACUGGGCCAUAACUGACACUCAGAGACGAAAGCUAGGGUAGCAAACGGGAUUAGAUACCCCGGUAGUCCUAGCCGUAAACGAUGGAUACUAGAUGUUGCGUAUUCUUACAGUGUCCUAGCUAACGCGUUAAGUAUCCCGCCUGGGGAGUACACUCGCAAGGGUG